rnacentral:misc_RNA from 1 species
AAAUAAUAAUAAUAAUAAUAAAUUGCUCGUUGAUAUAUAGUUUUCUAGCUGCAUGAUCACUUUUGAUUGGUGGCCUUCAUAUUCAUUUUUGUAACUUUUCCUUUUCUGCUUUGUGAGACAAGCUAAACUAAUGGUGUCCUAAAAAUCGGCUGGUCGUUGGAUCGUGAGUCUCGAUAUGAUUGAAUUUUUUAGUCCAACUAUGAAGUGUUGGAGUUUUUGAAUUUGUGUUAGCUCUUGACCUGGCAACAAGCUACUCAAAAAGUUCCUCUUAAUCGUCAACAGAAUUGAUCUGUUGAAAAUUGAUUAGCUCUUCCAAUUGGUAUUUCCUGACCAUUCCGAACCUUCAAUUACAGUGGUCUUUGAAUUGAUUCCAAGUCACUAGUGGUCGGUCCUUUUCUAGGCACAAUAACUAUUUUUGUGCCUUCCUUUCAAGAUGAAAGGAUUUGCUGUCUGCAAUCUUUUGGUGUCAGUAGAAAUGUUUGCGGCAAUUCAACCACCCCAAUAAAUCUUCAGUUCUACUGAAUUUAGGGAAGUUAAACUUUGCAUAUUGAGGUACAUAAUUUCUCCCUUUGCUACUGUUUCUCAAGUUCAUAUUCAGGAGCCUUCCAGCUUGCUUCCCCCUGCAUUUGUAUGUGGCUGGAUUCUGCACUUCGAUCCUCUAAUCGAGUGGAGGUUAAUUCUUGUGAGAGCGUCUCCAAACCGAUGGAUAAUUCCUUGUUUUGUGCUGCCCAAAGAGCAUGUUCCUGCUCCCUUUCCAAGCGAUCUCGUUGUCUGUGCUCUUGGUAUUGUUUCAUGAAGGUUUCAAGUUGUUGCAUCAUUGGAUUGUUGUUAUUGCAGUCUUCCAUGACGUAGGCUCCUGUACCAAGUUGAUAAGGCCCUGAAUUACAGAUUGUGUCACAGGACGGUUCCUUUGUUCUUUUCUUGACCUAUGGUGAUACUCGAUACAAGCUCACAAGGGAGCUUGCAACCUACAAGCUCAAUAAGGGAGCUCACAACCUGUUUCAAAGAAAAGAAGACUGAAAUUUUUUUUUCUCCCUUGUUCUUAUUCAAUUCCAUGUAUAACUACACAAGUUAUUGAUUCUUAUGUGGAAAAUUCAAUUGAUUCAAGAAUUGUAUGUUUUGCUCCUGUAAUUUUGAAAUUUAAAUAGAAACAUAUGAUUAAAUUACUGCAUAAUUCCUGCAAUGAAGAUCAAAAUUAACAAUUGCAUUUCCUUUGAUUCUGCUUGCCAUGCUUGGGUGAGAGAAAAGGAACUUGCUUCUGGAAUGUCAUCCUCAAUUAAGCUAGUUGACCGGAUUGUGUUCUACCAACUUGCAGUUGCAUGCCUUCAACCUAGUCACCUUGUCUAGGUUACCCUGCCCAUCCUUUGGUAGAGCAGUCCUCCCUUUGUGCCCAGUGUGCUGCACGUAGUGGGAGGGGGAAUUUGGUUAUAAAAAAUGUCCUGGGUUAGUUAAUAGUGAGAUUAUAUUAUUCGGCUUUUUGACAAAACAAUGACUCUAAAUGAUGUUUCUGACAAAUGACAUUUGUUUGCUGAUAUCCUGAGUUAUUGAUAAAUGAAACCCGCUACUAAUUAACAUGAAUUCCGUACUGAAUUUCUUGUUCUUUUAAAAGAAUUUUUGGAAUAUCAAUGCGCGACAAUUUUCCAUUAUCAUAAUAGAAUUUAUCUAUUGAUUCAUAGUCUCUCUACUAAAGUUUUCUCUUCGUUUACAUGUAUCCUGGAACAUUCCUUAUGCCAUGCUGGUACUGUGUACAGGAUGUUCUGAAGAAAGAUACUGG